ensembl:rRNA 5S_rRNA 5S ribosomal RNA
GCUUACGGCCACACCGGCCUGAGUACGCCUGAUCUCGUCCGAUCUCGGAAGCUAGGCAGGGUCGGGCCUGGUUAGUACUUGGAUGGGAGACCGCCUGGGAAUACCAGGUGCUGUAAGCU